rnacentral:rRNA from 1 species
UCAGGCCUAACACAUGCAAGUCGAACGGUAACGCGGGGCAACCUGGCGACGAGUGGCGAACGGGUGAGUAAAGUAUCGGAACGUGCCCAGUAGUGGGGGAUAGCCCGGCGAAAGCCGGAUUAAUACCGCAUGAGACCUGAGGGUGAAAGCGGGGGAUCGCAAGACCUCGCGCUAUUGGAGCGGCCGAUAUCAGAUUAGGUAGUUGGUGGGGUAAAGGCCUACCAAGCCGACGAUCUGUAGCUGGUCUGAGAGGACGACCAGCCACACUGGGACUGAGACACGGCCCAGACUCCUACGGGAGGCAGCAGUGGGGAAUUUUGGACAAUGGGCGCAAGCCUGACCCAAACAGUGCCGCGUGCGGGAAGAAGGCCUUCGGGCUGUAAAUUACUGUGUCAGGGAAGAAAUCUUCUGGGCUAAUACCUCGGGAGG